AGGACGAACGCUGGCGGCGUGCUUAACACAUGCAAGUCGAACGGUGAAGCCCUUCGGGGUGGAUCAGUGGCGAACGGGUGAGUAACACGUGGGCAAUCUGCCCUGCAUUCUGGGACAAGCCUUGGAAACGAGGUCUAAUACCGGAUACGACGCAUCUCCGCAUGGAGUGUGCGUGGAAAGCUCCGGCGAUGCAGGAUGAGCCCGCGGCCUAUCAGCUUGUUGGUGGGGUAAUGGCCUACCAAAGGCGACGACGGGUA
rnacentral:rRNA from 1 species